AUACAAAGGGAUUCCCUGCUCUUUGUCUCUGUCCAGUAAAGAGGACAAAAAAGUUUAAAGAUGGGGAUCAUGAAGACUGAAAACUUUUUGGGAAGGAAUGAAAAUGAAAUGUUAAAUGAACAAAGUACAAACAGAUAUCUUAUUUGUGUGGAUGCAGUGAACUUCAUUUUCCCUGUUCAGUGGCAGCAAUAAGCUAAAGCUCUCUUUAUAAUAUCCUUAAAAUUCAGACGAAUCCGAUGAGUGAAAUGCAGGAAGAGUGAGAAUGACCGGGUUAAUUAAAGUUAUUGAGCGUAAUGCUCUUCAGAGCCCUGCGGCACAGGGGCACCGGGGCCAGCCUUCGGUGCUGACUGCGGAGUGAAGCCGCGGAGAUGCCGCUGCCGCCGCCGCCGGUCCCUUCUUCAAGUUCGUUUCCAAGGAGGAGAGACGCGUCGCGCCAGGACUCCGCCCCCUUCUCCUGAAUGCGCGAGCAGCUGCUUUCAAACCCAACUGCUCAAUUCCAUUCAUCCUCGAGAGGGAACAAAAAAGUGGCUAUUUAUUAGAAUACUUGUUUUGUAUUGUUCCGCGUCACACAAAAGGGGCUUUAUUAUGUAAGAAGGAACCCUUUCGCCGGGAGAAACAAUAACUUGAAAUUGUCUUUAGAGUCUAUAAUAAAUUUCAUUUUCUUGUCUCUCUCCUCAGUGUGUAGUGAGUGGUGGGACUGGGAGCUGGGUAUCUCUGGCCUUGGCACACUAAGUGUAGAUUUUAGCAAGGAUGGCGGUCUGGCGAGUGGCUUUGGCUGGUUUAGGACAGCGAUAGAACCGAGAGGUCUGUGUAAGGAUGAUUGUGAGAGACUCUGCUGGAAUUUGGCAGGCCCGCUGCUUGGAGAGGCGCCCCACGCUGUGACUCCCAUUCAGCGGUCCAGCGCGCUGUGAGGUUGGGAAGUUUCACUGAGCCGUGCACUCAAUGGCUCCACAAAGCUGAUUACAAGCCCCAGCGAAUUCCUGAAGGGACCGGGCAGCCACGCAGGUGUGCGGGAAACCGGGGCAACCCUUCAGAGUUAUAGUGACAAGCCAGGAGACCACACAAAAAGCAAAGAGUCCCGGGAAGCGGCCAGGGAUUUGGUGGGAAAAAACACCUUAAAUGUCCUCUCCCUUGUAAGCGAAAAAAGAGGAGAAACUUUCCGAAGUCCCCCAUUAAACUGAUGCCCAGUCUCCUCAGGACAGCGGCUGUGCUGUUAAAAUCAGACACAUAUUUCUGUUUAUUUUUGGCAUAUGCAUUCUGAACAGUCUGGUGUGUAUAGUCCCAUGCACGUAAAGAUGGGGGUUCGGGUUUAACUACGAUUCAUAAAACGUAAAGAUCUGCUUUGCCUUACCGUGCCCAAUUCUUUCUCCCUGGUGCGAAAAAAAUCUACAUCAAUGAAGCAGACAGCGUAUUUAAUUAGAGCGGAGUCUAACUAUCAAUUACUCAGGAAAAACACAGGAUCCCCAAGGACCGGUAAUCAGCGCGCCAACAGUCGGCCGCGCGCUCAUUACAGCCAAGCGACGGGCGGGAAUAAUAAUCAGGGCGCGGCGACGCAUCUGCCUACAGUAUUUCCAUCGCUUCCUGUUGCCUCUCAGAACUUUAAUAACUCGACAUUUUUACUCAGUUUACCCAGCGGUAGCUCUGUUGUGGACGGCUUAGUAAAAAAGGCCCACUGUCUUUUCUCUUGUAACCUUAUUGUAAGAAGCUUACAGCAUCAUAACAUAAACGGUCUUUUUGUGAUAUUUCAUAUUGCAUGUUUUUAUCAAAAUCAUAACCUCUGAUUUACUACGGCGCUUUGUUUUUUCUUUUUCUUAUUAAACACAAUGGGCUAAAAGUCGUAGGACACAUUACAGAAAACAGUAAGCUACUACUAUCUACUACGGCAUUACAACGUUCAGUCCACUUAUACGUUCACUUAGAUAAUGUUUGUAUAUUUUAGUUUGCAUUUUCAGUUCCUUCACUGUAAAAAUCAUGGUUGCCUUAAUUUUUUAAAGCUGAAUCAAAUUAACUUCAUGAGUCUAUUGAACUUUUGUUAAACUGACAUAAAACAGCUUGCGUAACUUAUAAAGUUAAGUUAGAACAUGAUUAACUUAAUUUAAUAAGUUACAAUGACUUAUUAAAAAAGAUUAAAUGACUUUCAAAAACAUAUUCUGUCAGGACUAAUUGAUUAUAUAAUGUGUUUACAGUGUAUGCUAAAGCAGAUGGGACUGAAAGGAUAGAGUAAAUGUAGAAAUGAAUUAAUUUUUUGGUUGUUUGUGUUCUUUUGGGAUUUAGGAAUAAACUAUCAAUUCGGUUAUUGACUACUGAACUUGGUUUCUAACCAUGCAACUUUUUUAAACAGUAAAGGUGCCAUAAAGAACCAAAAAAAAGGGAUUUCACUGUGAUCACACGGAUGAACUUAUUUGGUUUCACAAAUAACUUUAUAGUAAAAAGUUCUUUAAAUGUUGGGGGAAAGCCUUUUUCUUUAUUGGCUUUGAAGAAACCUUUUGAGGAUGAAAAUGUUUCAUUGGACCUUAAAAGCCUGUCAUGGAACCGUCAAAGCCAAUAAAGAAGAAUGUAGUAGAAAAACAUUUGUACUUUGAGAGUUGAUACUUUGUUUUCACAUUACAAAUUGUCGUUAGAAUUGUCGUUUAAAAGUACUUGUUUUCUAGUUAGGUUUAGAGAAAUACUUAUGAAAUAUGUAACUUUUGCAGUGCAGCACCUUUCAAUUAAUGGACGUCAAAACACCAAUAAAAGUCUUUGAGUAUGGGCCCGGUUCUACUUUCUGCGCUAAUCUAAUCCUCCGCAGAGUCAACAAGGGCUAAUUGAGACCAGCAGGGCGCAAACACCCAUUUACAAUCACUUUCUCCCUCGCUCUUGAUUGUCCCGUUGAGUCGUUUUGCGUGAGGUUUGGGACUUGAAAGUAAGCACGUUGUCUCAAUCUAUAGAUUAUGUUGACUUUUGAGUUCUGAAUUAUACAAAUGGCAAAGGCCUCUGAGAUUUAGGCAUGUUUCAGUUCCCAUGCUUAGCCUUAUAAAUAUGCUAUAAAACCAUUGCAGUCUUGGCCUCACCUGUGUCCUGUCACCCCUGCUGUCCUCGUGUGAUUAGAGGACAAAAGCACUUACCCGGCCCGGCUAUGGUAGUCAAUCAACCACAACGGACUAUGCUAAUUGAGGGGAAAGGCGAGAGGAAGACGAACAGUGAUCCCAAUUGUUCGGCGAAUUUCACAGCUCAGCGCAGCUGCAAUGCUACUGUUCUCUCCCAAUACACUCUUCCUUCACUUCUAACACAACUCUACUGUAAGCCGAAGUCUGUGCGAACAGGAAGUGAUUUUAAAAUACUCUCGUUUUUCCCACACAAGUUGAUAAUUUAACGAAAAACAAAAGUCUGUGUAAGUCUAGAUGAAUGACGUGCACUAAAAGUUUUAGAGGAGCUGUCCAGGUCCUGAAAUUCACAACACCCGCAUGUUCUCUGUUGGUCUAUUUCAAGAGCGAUACAUGUUAAAAUAUUAAAAAUAAUUGAAUUAUAUAAAUUAACUUUUGUUUUUAGCAUGACUUUACAUAAAAGUUUCGCAUGGCUUGAUCAAGUUUAACCUUCUGGUGCUACCAAAAAUGACGGAUUUUUAAUAUCUUGUUUUUUUUAAGGGGAUUUAAUGAUAUGUACACCUCUUAACGUUUGAGCAUAGACCUGAAAACAAAAUGUCCAAGGUAAAAAAAUAUACAUCUUUUGUUGUAGAUGUUUUGCAACACAGAUUUACGUUUUUUGUCUUUUAAAGGUACUUGGUACAUGGUUUCAGCAGGUUUAUGAAUGUAAUUUAAGAC